rnacentral:lncRNA from 1 species
GCAGGCGCAGUGUGACCGGCAACAUGGCAUCCAAGGCUAAGAAGCGAGCAGUGGGAAAUGGGGUCCAGCGGCCGCUUGAAGCACCGAGCCAGCGGGAAGAGGAAGAAGAGGAUGAAUUGGAGGAUGAGGAAGAAGACGAUGAAGACAGUGAAGAAGAAGAAGACGAUGAAGACGACGAAAUCGUGGAUGAGGAAGUGAAUAUUGAAUUUGAAGCUUAUUCCAUCUCAGAUAAUGAUUAUGGAGGAAUUAAGAAGUUACUGCAACAGGUACCGUCUUUGCAGAACUUCCAUGUAUGUCUUCUGUCUCCUUUCCCAGGGUGAAUGGCUGCUCGUGCUUUCCUCCCAGCUCCUGGUUACAAUGCUGACCUUUGCUGCGUCCUGGAAUGCUUUCCUUUCCGUGUGGACACUGCUUGAGAUUCUCAUCUCUUUCUCAUAAUUCACAUCUGAGCUUGGUGGGGUAAAAAACAAAAAUGUUGUAAGGGAGGAGGAGUUGGGCUUCCAGUUCAGAGGGGAUGCUG